UGAUAUGUUAAUGAUCCAUCCUCCUCUGCAUUAUCCUCUGAAAUGUCAAUUGAUUCAUCCUUGACUCUUCAUCAUUGUACAAGUGUUUCUCUUUCACCCUUUGUCCCAACAGCCAUGAGUAUCUGUAAACUGAUGGAUCUCAGCAGUUAUGUAGUACAUGAGGUCUCUGUGUAAAUUGGUUCUAUAUAUCACAUACGGGAACGGGAUGGUGUACCCUGCUCAGUUGUACCUAUGUUUUUUUUUCGAAAGACCCAGUUGCCUGGCUUUUCAUUGAUCAGUUGUACCUAUGUUUUUUUUUCGAAAGACCCAGUUGCCUGGCUUUUCAUUGAUUUAGCAGAAGAGAGUUACAA
rnacentral:lncRNA from 1 species